GACGAACGCUGGCGGCGUGCUUAACACAUGCAAGUCGAACGGAGAUUCAGCAAUGGAUCUUAGUGGCGAACGGGUGAGUAACGCGUAGGCAAUCUGCCUUCUAGAUGGGGACAACAUCCCGAAAGGGGUGCUAAUACCGAAUGUUGUAGUUGGUUCGUAUGGACUAGCUACUAAAGGUGGCCUCUGAAUAUGCUACCGCUAGAAGAUGAGCCUGCGUCUGAUUAGCUAGUUGGAGGGGUACCGGCCCACCAAGGCUUCGAUCAGUAGCAGGUCUGAGAGGAUGAACGGCCACACUGGAACUGAGACACGGCCCAGACUCCUACGGGAGGCAGAAGUGGGGAAUCUUCCGCAAUGGACGAAAGUCUGACGGAGCAACGACGCGUGAGUGAAGAAGGUUUUCGGAUCGUAAAGCUCUUUCGUUAGGGACGAACGUGCUCUUUGUGAAUAAUGAGGAGUAAUGACGGUACCUAAAUAAGAAGCCACGGCUAACUACGUGCCAGCAGCCGCAGUAA
rnacentral:rRNA from 1 species